rnacentral:rRNA from 1 species
ACCCUAAAAAGUUCUAAGGGCAAAAAGGUUUGGUCCUAGCCCUACUAUCAAUUGUUUCUUAAAUUACACAUGCAAGUCUCAGCACCCCCGUGAGGACACCCUUAUCACCUUAACCAGGCUAAGGAGCUGGUAUCAGGCACAACAUUUGCCCACAACACCUAGUUUUACCACACCCCCAAGGGUAUUCAGCAGUGAUAAAUAUUGUUUAUAAGCGAUAGCUUGACUCAGUUAAAGAAAGUAGAGCCGGCCAACUCGGUGCCAGCCGCCGCGGCUAAACCGCAUGGGCUCAAAUUGAUAAUAAUCGGCGUUAAGCGUGAUUAAAGUCCUUCACAAUUAGAGUGAAACCCACACUUAGCUGUGAAAAGCUUGAUAUGAGAGAAGUUCAAAAACGAAAGUUACUCUAAUUAAUUACUUGAAUACACGACAGCUAGGAAACAAACUGGGAUUA